rnacentral:lncRNA from 1 species
CCUGUACCAACAAAAUCCACCAAAAUUGAUAUCCAACGAAUAUUAGAAUCCACAGUGUGCACAAAACUGCAAGUCAAAUUCUCUGUGGUAUGCACAUAUACAAGAAUGCUUCAAUCUCAGAAAGCACUUGCACAGGUGCAGACAGGUAGUUAAUGUUACAUUUUUCUGGCAUAUAAGUACUUUUGAUCAUUCAUUACAGACAGGCUAGGAGGCUUUUGAAUAAUAAUCUACUUAUGUAUGAACUAGAAGUGGAAAAAUUGAAUCAUAAACUUUGUCAGUUCAGAGAAGGUGUAUGUUAUCAAAUGAGAAGAAAUGUUCAGGGAGAUAUCAGUGCGACAGCAACCUAAAAUCACACUGAAAAGACAUCAAGGUUUUUUAGUUCUGCUUUCAAUAAUGGAAUAUAUGAACAUCUCUCUUUACCUAUAUAUUCUUGUAAAAAUCUCUUAGCCUACUAAAUAAGGUCACACAGAUAUAUAACGACCAGUAAUAUG